CUUUGUUCUGUGUACAUCUGUUUUGGUCACUUUAAAUCUUCUGUGAUUUCUGUAGAUCUCACAAUUGUCAAUCACGAUGGAAAAGGUUGAGAGGGUAUUUUUCUAAAGAGAGAAAGAAAAGAGGAGACGAAGCAAGAAGUGGUAGCAAGGGAGAGGUUCGAAAGCCUUGGCCACUAUAUAAAGUGAUAAAUUUUUUAGAAGAAACAAUGCACAGGAGAAGAACGUAUUCAAGUUUCAAAGAAAAAGAUGACUUAGAAAAUAAAAAUUCAGAAGAAGAAAAAAAAUCAAAGAAACAAAAAAUAAAUGAAGCUAAUAAGUCAAGGUGUAUAAUAAAAGAAGAACAUUCUUACAAAAAAACUAAAGGAAAAUGUAAUGAGUCAAGUGAAAUGUUAAAAGCAUUUAGUACAGUUAGUUCUUCGAUCCAAAAAAUAAACGAAAAAAUAUUAAAUAAAGAGGAAAGUAGAGAUGAGGCGUUAUGCAAAAUGAUUUUAAGAGAAUUACAAGAGAGUACAGGAUCAAAGAAAAAGACUUUGAGAAAAAAAUUAUUGAAAGUUAUUGUUGAAAAUUUGGAAUCAGAUAGUGAAUAAAUUUAUUGCGUAAUUAAUAAUUUAUAUUCUUGAAAAAAAUAUUAACAACUUUU
rnacentral:misc_RNA from 1 species